UUGAAAUAACUGGAGAAGAUUAGAAACGUACACGUCUUCACCUGAGUAACAUCGACAGAGUAACUCGCACUUUUUAAUUUAUUUAUUUAAUUAUUCGAGUCGAAGGAGGAAAUGCGAGAUUGGAUUUAACAUGGGAGCUCCAGCAGCAGGGGAAAACUCCAACAGCCAAAGUCGCUGUAAAAUGUUUUGAAUAGUUCAUAACAUUUUCAGUGGUCAUUGAAAACAAAGGCAAGCUCAAUUUCCCUUGAUGGAGGAAUUUGGAUAUAUCGCUUAACAUAAAAAAUCAAGAAGUGAAACUUCGAGUGGAAGCGAAAGCACAGGAGAAAAAGAAGACUCCGAAGUUAGAUCGUAACCUAAUGAUCCAGAAUAAACCCGUGUCUCAGCCUCUAAACCAGUGUUUUAGAA